AUUGAACGCUGGCGGCAGGCCUAACACAUGCAAGUCGAGCGGGGUUUUCGGACCUAGCGGCGGACGGGUGAGUAAUGCGUAGGAAGCUACCCGAUAGAGGGGGAUACCAGUUGGAAACGACUGUUAAUACCGCAUAAUGUCUACGGACCAAAGUGUGGGACCUUCGGGCCACAUGCUAUCGGAUGCGCCUACGUGGGAUUAGCUAGUUGGUGGGGUAAUGGCUCACCAAGGCGACGAUCCCUAGCUGGUUUGAGAGGAUGAUCAGCCACACUGGAACUGAGACACGGUCCAGACUACUACGGGAGGCAGCAGUGGGGAAUAUAGGACAAUGGGCGCAAGCCUGAUCCAGCCAUGCCGCGUGUGUGAAGAAGGCCUUCGGGUUGUAAAGCACUUUCAGUAGGGAGGAAGGGUGUUGUGUUAAUAGUACUCAGCGUUGACGUUACCUACAGAAGAAGCACCGGCUAACUCUGUGCCAGCCGCCGCAGUAAAAC
rnacentral:rRNA from 1 species